CAGCACCUACUCUGCGCAGUAGCAGGUGAAGGUCCUGUAGACAGCCCUUCCUUGAGAGAGCAGAGAGGGCCCCAGGGAAGCAGAAGUACUCAGCUGGAGGCCCCGGGUCUGGGAGGAGAGGUCAGGUGGACUGUCAGAGGAAAGCAUGUAGGAUACAGUCCCUGGAGGUCCAGGAUUUGGGGGCCUCCGAGGUUCUUGACAGCUGUGACCCUUUGGGCUGGGAUGAUCCUGACAGAACAUCAGGUUCCCCAGCUCUGUCCCCUCUACAGUCUCUCCAGAAGAAGGGUCUGGGGGAAUCCGCCUUGCCCUGACUUCCCAUAAUAUUCAAACCAGAGUUCUUCGCAGUUCCUGGAGAGACCUACUCCCCCUACCCCAGAACAUGGGGCUCAAGAUACUUUAUGGAAACAAGUCCCAUCGCUCUAGACCGCCUGCGGGAAUCUUCCUCUGGGGAGACACAGCUCUGGCCUUGGAAUCUGUCACAGCUGGGUCUGAGCGUUGGCACUGCUGAUGUCUGGCGAUGGUGGCUGACACGGAGUCACUUUGUCCGCGGAGCUUUCAGUUUUCUGUACUGUCCAAUGGGGAGAAGAAGAGCAGCCUGGUGGGGAUACAAGGAUCCAGCAGCCCUCUGGAGGUGUCCACUGUGUAUCCGUGACAUCAGAUUGCUUUGGGGAACAAGAGGGAAGCCUCACGUGCAAGAGCCACCUCCUUCCUGCCAGGAGACUCAGCUGACUGACUUCCACUUUUGGAAGGUUCUCCCCUCUCAGCCACCUCUACUCACCCUACUGCUUUGUCUGAGCCAAGGAUCCCGCAGCUGAAGAUCACAGGGCAGAUCUUGGGAAGAAUUUCCUGAAGGAAUGUCUG